rnacentral:rRNA from 1 species
UGUAAGCGUAUACCAAAGUUGUUGCAGUUAAAACGCUCGUAGUCGGAAUUUGGCAGUUCCGGAUGUGUGCACGUCGUGUGCGCACUUCGCGGGGAUUGCUUUUGUGGUCUUGCGUAGGAUGAGGCACUUUUAUUAGUGAACGUCCUCACGCAACCACUUUUUACUGUGAGAAAAUCAGAGUGCUCAAAGCAGGCAUUUGCCGUGAAUGUAUUAGCAUGGAAUAAUAGAAUAGGACUUGGUUCUAUUUUGUUGGUUUGUUGGGACUGAGUAAUGAUUAAGAGGGACAGUUGGGGGCAUUUGUAUUUCGGUGCUAGAGGUGAAAUUCUUAGAAUACCGAAAGACAAACUGCUGCGAAAGCGUCUGCCAAGGAUGUUUUCAUUGA